rnacentral:rRNA from 1 species
CAAACGACUCUCGGCAAUGGAUAUCUCGGCUCUUGCAUCGAUGAAGAACGUAGUGAAAUGCGAUACUUGGUGUGAAUUGCAGAAUCUCGUGAACCAUUGAGUCUUUGAACGCAAGUUGUGCCCGAGGCUUUCUGGCUGAGGGCACGCCUGCUUGGGUGUCAUGG